rnacentral:lncRNA from 1 species
AUGGUACAGGAGACAGGGAUCAAGACCAUCCCCAUGGAAAAGAAAUGCAAAAAAGCAAAAUGGCUAUCUGGGGAGGCCUUACAAAUAGCUGUGAAAAGAAGAGAAGCGAAAAGCAAAGGAGAAAAGGAAAGAUACAAGCAUCUGAAUGCAGAGUUCCAAAGAAUAGCAAGGAGAGAUAAGAAAGCCUUCCUCAGUGAUCAAUGCAAAGAAAUAGAGGAAAACAACAGAAUGGGAAACACUAGAGAUCUCUUCAAGAAAAUUAGAGACACCAAUGGAACAUUUCAUGCAAAGAUGGGCUCGAUAAAGGACAGAAAUGCUAUGGACCUAACAGAAGCAGAAGAUAUUAAGAAGAGGUGGCAAGAAUACACAGAAGAACUGUACAAAAAAGAUCUUCACGAUCCAGAUAGUCACGAUGGUGUGAUCACUCACCUAGAGCCAGACAUCCUGGAAUAUGAAGUCAAGUGGGCCUUAGAAAGCAUCACUACAAACAAAGCUGGUGGAGGUGAUGGCAUUCCAGUUGAGCUAUUUCAAAUCCUGAAAGAUGAUGCUGUGAAAGUGCUGCACUCAAUAUGCCAGCAAAUCUGGAAAACUCAGCAGUGGCCACAGGACUGGAAAAGGUCAGUUUUCAUUACAAUCCCAAAGAAAGGCAAUGCCAAAGAAUGCUCAAACUACCACACAAUUGCACUCAUCUCAUACGCUAGUAAAGUAAUGCUCAAAAUUCUCCAAGCCAGGCUUCAGCAAUACGUGAACCGUGAACUUCCUGAUGUUCAAGCUGGUUUUAGAAAAGGCAGAGGAACCAGAGAUCAAAUUGUCAACAUCUGCUGGAUCAUGGAAAAAGCAAGAGAGUUCCAGAAAAACAUCUAUUUCUGCUUUAUUGACUAUGCCAAAGCCUUUGACUGUGUGGAUCACAAUAAACUGGAAAAUUCUGAAAGAGAUGGGAAUACCAAACCACCUGACCUGCCUCUUGAGAAAUCUGUAUGUAGGUCAGGAAGCAACAGUUAG